CACCUCAAGUCGCCGCCACCUCAAGUCGCCGCCACUUCCUGCGAUAGCAAUCUUUCUCUCAGGGGAAAUAUUGAGGUCUUUAUGGUGAUUUCGGAUUCUAACCCUUGCUAUGAAGACGCACAUAUGAGGCUUGCUGCAGCACUCUUAAUGUUGUUAUUGAGUCCAACUGAGUGUUAUGUUUGUUUCCUGGUCUUUUCUUUCUUCUGUCAUGAUCCUGUUCAUGCCUGAACAUUUGAAAGAUGGGAAAUAAGUGGACUAUGGUUGUGCUACUAUUUUGUUUAUAGACGAACUUACUACUCUUCUAGUUUAUCAAGUAAUUAAGUAGAUUGUCCUUACUAA